CUUUCCCCAUUUCAUUCCUAACACCUUCAGCCGUUCUCUCUCCUUCCAUCACAGCUCUGUCGCCCUUCCAUCACUGGUCUCGCCCUUCCAUCACCGAUCAUCACGUCUCUCUCCUUCUAUCACAGCUCUCUCGCCCUUCCAUCACCGAUCAUCACGUCUGUCGCCCUUCCAUCACUGGUCUCGCCCUUCCCUUCCAUCACCGAUCAUCACGUCUCUCUCCUAUCACAGCAUUCCAAAACUGGUGGCUUGGUUUACAGAGACAAAGUCAUUGCUACUGCACACACAGAGAGAGAAAGAGUCGUCGUUGGGGGUUUCCAAAACCUUGUCUACACUAAUAGAUCGGACGAGAAUUUUUUUAGCUUUGUUUGUGUAGAGUCGGCAGACGAGACUCUCUUCGCGAAAGCCCUAGCUCAUUGCCCCCGAGCACUGGACAUCGUGAAAGCCUUGGAUAGCUCAUUGCCUCCUCCUUACAGCUUUCUGAAGUCUAAACAAGAAAGGAUAAAUAAUAAGUUGACAAUGAAACGAACGGUUAGUGAAGUGGAAAAAGUAAGUGAACAAAAUACUGAAGCUUCAACUUCAAAAUCAUCCCAACCACCGUCGAAGAAGAGACGGGGCCCGACACGAUGCAAGAAUGUCGUAAACGUGACAACCUUAUUACCAUUAAGUUUGGACAGCCGAUCGGCCCUAGAAGUGGUACAUAUACUAAUUAUUUGGGAACACUUGGGAACACUUGCCCGGAAAGCUAAUUUAGCUCCUUUGUGCUACAAAACUUGAUGGGAGAUGCCUAAACGGCUGAAGGAGGAUAUGUGGAACGUUGUAAAGGGAAAGUAUGAUGUGGGAAUCAUGUCAAAACAUUGGACAAUAUCCUUCAUCGGAAAAAAAAUGGAAGGGGUACAAGUGUGAAUUAAAAAGUGAAUAUUACUCGGCUAGGGAUACAGAUGCAGAAAGAUUGGCAAACCCAUCACCUGAUGUUGAAAAGGAGCAUUGGGAAUUUUUGGUUAGGCAUUGGGGUAUGCCUAUGGCGAAGGAGGUCAGUAAAAAAACAAAGAACGUCAUGGGAAGCAGACAAUGAUGCAUACUACAGGGACAAAAAGCUUUGCACGUGUUUCUGCCGAGAUUGAGGAAGACAAAGGUAUUCAGCUUUCUCGUGCAGAUUUAUUCAUUCGCACACAUGCAAAUAAGGAUGGCAAAGCUACUGAUGCUGCUGCUUCGGAGAUGAUUGAACACAUAAAAGUACUUCAAAAAAGUUACUCUGACUCGCCUAUUGGCAGUUCCAAUGUUGUUCUCCAUUGUGAGGGGAGAAAAGAGAACUGGUCGUGUGUGGAUGCUUGGCUUCGGGCCUACACCAAGCGAUGUUUGGGGGCCUCUCCUAGUAAAGCUGAACUGAUUAAUAAUGCGAAAAAAUCUGAUGAGGAGGCACGUGCUGCACGCGUAGAGUUGCAGGAGACCAUAUCAAAAAUGCAAGCCGACUAUGACAACAAGUUAGAAAAUUUAUGAGCCAACUUUGAUGACAAGUUGGAAAAUUUACAACAACAGGGUUCUGAUUCGUUAAAUGCUCCUCCUAGAGUAUUCCCAAAUUCAUUAUCUAGUCGUGAUGACAAUUCAGUUAAGGUUAUGAACUUUUAAUUUCUCUUAUAUAUAUGUUAAAUUUUCAUUUAUUAUAAUGUGUGCGUAAUGAAUUUAUAAAAAAUGUAGGGUAAUUCAAAUAAAAUAGGCAAGAAGACUUGUUGAAGUUGAAGUUGAAGAUGGGGUUGUGGCUGUGCUUUUUGAAUUUCCUUCGCCUUGGAUGGGUUCUUUUUGAAAAACUUGUACUACAUUUAUCAAAAAUUGUUAAUUCUUUUUGUCUGACAUUUAAUAGCUUUAUUUAGACAAUUUGGAUGGUACAUUGGCAGGCUAACUUGUGGUUAUAUUAGUAUACAUUUUUGCUUUUUGGUUGACAUUUAGCAGGGUUAACUUGUGGUUGUAUUAGUAGCCAAUUUUGAUGGUAAUUUUCAUAUUGGCAGGGUUAACUUGUGGUUGUAUUAUGUAAAAACAA